rnacentral:rRNA from 1 species
GACGAACGCUGGCGGCGUGCUUAACACAUGCAAGUCGAACGGUGAAGCGCCUUCCUUUUUGGUGGGUGUGGAUGAGUGGCGAACGGGUGAGUAACACGUGAGUAACCUGCCCCCUUCUUCUGGAUAACCGCAUGAAAGUGUGGCUAAUACGGGAUAUUCUGGGUCUGUCGCAUGAUGGGUCUGGGAAAGAUAUUGUUUCGGUGGGGGAUGGGCUCGCGGCCUAUCAGCUUGUUGGUGGGGUGAUGGCCUACCAAGGCGGUGACGGGUAGCCGGCCUGAGAGGGUGGACGGUCACACGGGGACUCAGACACGGCCCAGACUCCUACGGGAGGCAGCAGUGGGGAAUAUUGCACAAUGGGCGCAAGCCUGAUGCAGCGACGCCGCGUGAGGGAUGGAGGCCUUCGGGUUGUGAACCUCUUUCGCCAGUGAAGCAGGCCUGCCUCGUUUGUGGGUGGGUUGACGGUAGCUGGAUAAGAAGCGCCGGCUAACUACGUG